rnacentral:rRNA from 1 species
GCAUGACCAUUCUUAGUUGGUGAAGCGAUUUGUCUGGUUAAUUUCGUUAAUGAACGAGACUUCAGUCUGCUAACUAGCUAUGUCGAGGUACCCCUUUGUGGCCAGCUUCUUAGAGGGACUACGGUCUUUUAGGCAAUGGAAGUUUAAGGCAAUAAUAGGUUUGUGAU